rnacentral:rRNA from 1 species
UUAAUUGACGACUCCACUAGAUACUGUUGUGUGUAUCUUCUGAAAUCUAAGGAUGAGGCUUUGAACUUUUUCAAGAUCUAUAAAGCUGAAGUGGAAAACCAACUUGAUCGGAAAAUCAAGAGGCUUAGGUCCGACCGUGGUGGAGAGUAUUUUUCCAAUGAAUUUGAUGCUUUUUGUGUGGAACAUGGUAUAAUCCAUGAGAGGACGCCUCCCUACUCACCUCAGUCAAAUGGGGUGGCUGAAAGAAAGAACCGUACUCUAACUGAUUUGGUUAACGCCAUGUUAGACACAUCAGGUCUCUCCAAGGCAUGGUGGGGGGAGGCGAUAUUGACAGCAAGUCAUGUCCUAAAUCGAGUUCCCACAAAGAACAAAGAGAUAACUCCAUUCGAGGAAUGGGAGAAGAAAAGGUUAAAACUCUCUUAUCUGCGAACAUGGGGUUGUUUGGCGAAAGUCAAUGUUCCAAUUCCAAAGAAGCGGAAACUUGGACCAAAGACUGUGGAUUGUGUUUUCUUGGGAUAUGCUUUUCAUAGCAUUGGCUAUAGAUUCUUGGUUGUAAAAUCUGAGGUACCUGACAUGCAUGUCGGUACGAUCAUGGAGUCGAAUGAUGCGACUUUCUUUGAAGAUAUCUUUCCCAUGAAGGAUAUGGCUACCUCAUCUAAUCAGGAGAUGCCUAGUUCAUCGAAUCAGGAACCAGUUACAAUUACCGAACCUGCCAUUUCGAUGGAACACUUUGAAAAUCCCGUGGAGGAGAACAAUGAAGUUCCUAUUAGGAGCAAGAGA